GGCCUAUUAGCUCAAUUGGUUAGAGCGUCGUGCUAAUAACGUGAAGGUUGCAGGUUUAACACCUGCAUGGGUCA